rnacentral:lncRNA from 1 species
UUUAUACUGGGAGGGGUUUUGGGGUUACUGGGAUGGAGUUUUGGGCUUACUGGUCCAUACUGGUUUAUUCUGGUCUAUACUGGUUUAUACUGGUUUAUACUGGUUUGGGGCUACUGGGGCCUUACUGGGAUGAACUGGGAUGAACUGGGAUGAACUGGUUUAUACUGGUUUGGCAUUUUAGCGACAACUGGGGGCAGCACCACCAUUAACUCAAUGAACUGGGAUCAUACUGGUUCCUUACUGGUUUAUACUGGUUUAUACUGGUUUA